rnacentral:lncRNA from 1 species
UAUACUCAUCAGGAAAAAAACUACUAGAACAUCUGUUAUAGCGAGAGAGAGAAAAAAAUAAGAUGCUAAAACACAAUUGCCUUUUAACAUAGUUGUAACUAAUGUAAAUAAAAUAAUGUAAGUUUUUCUGAGACACGUAGAAAGAAGGUAUUUAGUAUAAAAAAAAGAUGUGGUACGAUUGUAAAUAAGACAACUCUUCACAAGAGAACAAAUAACACACAUUCACAACUAUAGGUCACUGUACGGCCUUCAACAAUGAGCAGAACCCACACCGCAUAGUCAGCUUUAAAGGGCCCUGAUAAGACAAAAUAUAUAACAAUUCAACGGUCAAAUUAAAGAACAAAAAAAGAACAAAAAACAAAUAUGUAAUACAUCAAAAAACGACAACCAUUGAAAUACGGGUUCCUGACUUGGGACAUACACAUACUAGAAUGUGGCAGGUUUACACAUUCUAGCGGGAUCCCAACCCUUCCCUAACAUGGAACAUUACAUUACAACACGACAACGAACUAUAAAAAUCAUUUCAAAAAUGCUUAACUCAUCAGAUGGAUACAGGUAGAAAAAACAUAUAAUAAAAC